ensembl:lincRNA
UUAUUCUAGUGUAUUAUUUUUCUUUUUUAGAGGAACUUGAUUUAAAUCUGUGCAUCGCCAAAGGCAAGGAGCUGAGAACAUGGAUGGAGAGAAGUUUCAGCAGAAGGCUCUGAAGCAAAAUAAGCAGAAGAAAUCCAAGUCGGCUGAAUUUCUGAUGGUUAAAGAAGAUAGAGAAGCUACAGAAGGCUUUGAAAAUCCAGCUUUUAACAUGAGCACCUCAGACCUCUCAGCACAUCAGGCUUCAGAAGAGAAAAUUAUUAGGCAUGACACACUAGAUCGCACCCUUGCAGCUCACCAACAAAAAUCCAGGCUGCCAGUCUCCACAGAGCCAAAAGGAAAUGAAUACGGCAGAAAUUACUUUGACCCACUGAUGGAUGAGGAAAUAAACCCAAGGCAGUGUGGGAUGGAGGUCAGCAGAGAGGGUGACAACAAAGUUUUCUGUAAUCAAUUAAUGGAGUUGUCUGAUGAGAGUGGACGAGAAGAAUCUCAAGAUGGGAGCACCAAGGAGGAGAUUUUGGAUUCUGAAGCACUCACAAGUUCCUGUAAGAUUUAUGAAACCCACAAAGAGGCAGAUGAAGCCAUCCCUGAUUCCAUCAAGGCGUUUGAAAGACAUGCUCAGAAAGACAUAACUCUGAUCGGAAGUUCUCCGUUUGAACAGGACUUGAAAUUUGAAGAAGGACUCCACCAGUACAUUCCUAUGUCAUGUUUAAAGAUGGACAAAACAUCCAAGAAAGUUCCAGGUCAGCCAUUCACUGCAGCCUUACAUGUUUGUAAAAACAGCAGUGUCACGAAGCUUGGUUCCCUCACAGAAGUAACUCACAGUUGCCAGGGAGUGGCUGGAUCUGGCUGGAAGGUUGAGCAGUCUCAGCCGCCUCAGCUGCUUCAAAUACAGAUCAAAUGCAUCCGAGGCCUCAAGGAUAAGGCUCCUCGAGGCUGUUAUUUCCUCAAAGUGUCCCUGCUUAGUCGGCUGGGAGGCUGUGUCUUGCAGUGGUGGCCAACAGAGCAGCUGAGGACCAGAACACACCCUGUUAGGCAUGACGGCAACUUUUACAACACGGGGCUAUUUUUCCACCAAAGCCUUUACAUGGGAUUCCCUCAAAGGAAAGAUGUGAAACCUGGCAUGGCUUUCCUCUUUGAACUGUUUCUCCUUCGUGGGACGUGUGCUUGCCUUGACCAGGCUGUGGGCUGGGCAGUCUUUCCUGUGUGUGAUAACAACUUUGAUAUUGUGGAGGGAAAAUUCAAAAGUCCCAUUCUCCGAGGACAUUAUGAAAAGAAACUUAGCAGUUUCAGGAAAAUUGAAGAUUUGAUUUGCUUGGACUUGGACCACUGGCUGUGCAAUCUCUAUUUUCAGGUAAUCAAACUUCCUUUGCAUUUCGAUGAUCAAAAAGUACAUGAAAACUGUACUCGGCUCUCCCCUGAAUUUUCCGUCUGUUUAGUGGCUGAAGCAGAGAAAGCAAAAUUAAAUACGGACAACCCAGCCGGCCUCUCAGGGAAAACAACCCAGGAAAAGAUUCCUGUGUCAACGGAGCAUGGAGCUGAAUCUGCCUUACACUCUUCUCAUGGUUAGUUCACAUUCGACUGCUGGUAUUUCAAAUUGU